UACGUAGGGCGCAAGCGUUGUCCGGAAUCAUUGGGCGUAAAGGGCUCGUAGGCGGCCUGUUGCGUCCGCUGUGAAAUCCCGGGGCUUAACCCCGGGCGUGCAGUGGAUACGGGCUGGCUGGAGGCAGGCAGGGGAGAACGGAAUUCCCGGUGUAGCGGUGAAAUGCGCAGAUAUCGGGAGGAACACCGGUGGCGAAGGCGGUUCUCUGGGCCUGUACUGACGCUGAGGAGCGAAAGCGUGGGGAGCGAACAGG
rnacentral:rRNA from 1 species